rnacentral:rRNA from 1 species
UACGGAGGGUGCAAGCGUUAUCCGGAUUUACUGGGUUUAAAGGGUGUGUAGGCGGGCUAUUAAGUCAGUGGUGAAAUCUCCGGGCUCAACCUGGAAACUGCCAUUGAUACUAUUAGUCUUGAAUUCUGUUGAGGUAGGCGGAAUAAGUCAUGUAGCGGUGAAAUGCAUAGAUAUGACUUAGAACACCAAUUGCGAAAGGCAGCUUACUAAGCAGAUAUUGACGCUGAGGCACGAAAAGCGUGGGGGAUCAAACAGG